UGACGGUACCCGNAGAAUAASCACCGGCUAACUACGUGCCANCAGCCGCGGUAAUACGUAGGGNGCAAGCGUUAAUCGGAAUUACUGGGCGUAAAGCGAGCGCAGGCGGUUAUGUAAGACAGGUGUGAAAUCCCAGGGCUUAACCUUGGAACUGCAUUUGUGACUGCAUGGCUNGAGUGUGUCANAGGGGGGUGGAACUCCACGUGUAGCANUGAAAUGCGUANAGAUGUGGAAGAACACCGAUGGCGAAGGCANCCCCCUGGNAUAACACUGACGCUCAUGCUCGAAAGCGUGGGGAGCAAACAGGAUUAGAUACCCUGGUAGUCCACGCCCUAAACGAUGUCUACUAGUUGUCGGGCCUUAAUUGGCUUGGUAACGCAGCUAACGCGUGAAGUAGACCGCCUGGGGAGUACGGUCGCAAGAUUAAAACUCAAA
rnacentral:rRNA from 1 species